UACAGAGGUCCCAAGCGUUGUUCGGAUUCAUUGGGCGUAAAGGGUGCGUAGGCGGCGCGGUGAGUCGGGUGUGAAAUCUUGGAGCUUAACUCCGAAACUGCAUUCGAUACUGCCGUGCUUGAGGACUGGAGAGGAGACUGGAAUUUACGGUGUAGCGGUGAAAUGCGUAGAUAUCGUAAGGAAGACCAGUGGCGAAGGCGGGUCUCUGGACAGUUCCUGACGCUGAGGCACGAAGGCCAGGGGAGCAAACGGG
rnacentral:rRNA from 1 species